rnacentral:rRNA from 1 species
GAUUAACGCUAGCGGCAGGCCUAAUACAUGCAAGUCGAACGGGAUUCAAAGUAGCAAUAUUUUGUAUGAGAGUGGCGCACGGGUGAGUAACACGUAUGCAAUUUACCUUUAACUGGGGGAUAGCCCUCCGAAAGGAGGAUUAAUACCGCAUAAUAUAUUGAAAUGGCAUCAUUUUAAUAUUAAACCUACGGGGGUUAAAGAUGAGCAUGCAUCCGAUUAGCUAGUUGGUGUGGUAACGGCUCACCAAGGCAACGAUCGGUAGGGGGUCUGAGAGGAUGAUCCCCCACACUGGUACUGAGACACGGACCAGACUCCUACGGGAGGCAGCAGUAAGGAAUAUUGGACAAUGGAGGCAACUCUGAUCCAGCCAUGCCGCGUGAAGGAUUAAGGCCCUAUGGGUUGUAAACUUCUUUUAGACGGGACAAAACCCCUUUACGUGUAAAGGGUUGAUGGUACUGUCAGAAUAAGCAUCGGCUAACUUCGUGCCAGCAGCCGCGGUAAAACGUGCGUG